AGUGAACGCUGGCGGUAGACCUAACACAUGCAAGUCGAACGGCAGCACAGUAAGAGCUUGCUCUUACGGGUGGCGAGUGGCGGACGGGUGAGGAAUACAUCGGAAUCUACUUUUUCGUGGGGGAUAACGUAGGGAAACUUACGCUAAUACCGCACACGACCUACGGGUGAAAGCAGGGGAUCUUCGGACCUUGCGCGAUUGAAUGAGCCGAUGUCGGAUUAGCUAGUUGGCGGGGUAAAGGCCCACCAAGGCGACGAUCCGUAGCUGGUCUGAGAGGAUGAUCAGCCACACUGGAACUGAGACACGGUCCAGACUCCUACGGGAGGCAGCAGUGGGGAAUAUUGGACAAUGGGCGCAAGCCUGAUCCAGCCAUACCGCGUGGGUGAAGAAGGCCUUCGGGUUGUAAAGCCCUUUUGUUGGGAAAGAAAAGCAGCAGGUUAAUACCCCGCUGUUCUGACGGUACCCAAAGAAUAAGCACCGGCUAACUUCGUG
rnacentral:rRNA from 1 species